GUUAGGGUUAGGGUUAGGGUUAGGGGUUAGGGUUAGGGGUUAGGGUUAGGGUUAGGUGAGGGGACUCUAUCCCGUCUCCCAUAAGGAGCGGGGAAUGCACGGGCCUUCCCCCAUCCGUACCCGUCCCUACGGUCCCAGGAUUGCUGGCGGAAACGUCGGGCCCUCCGGCCGUAUCUGACCUCCGUCCAGUCUGUAUUGUAGCCACUCAUGUUAGAGUGGCUAUGAAAGUGUUUUUAUUUAUUUAAAUAAAUAUAUAUUGUUUUGUUUUAAAGAAAGAAAAGACUGAUUUUUUCCUAUAAAAGAAAACUUAUCUGAAAAAACAAAGGAAACUUAGCUUUAAAUUUAAACUUUCUGAAAUAAAAUGCUGAUUGUUUUAAUAAAAAGUAAAAAUAAACUGUUUUUUAAUUUUGUUUUUAAAUAUUUUUAAAUGUUUUUAAGGUUUUUAUAAAGUUUUUUAGAUUUUUUUGUUGUUUUUUAACUUUUUUUUCUUCCAAAUAAACUAUUUACAAUCAAAUUUGUGUGCCCACGACAACGUUUCGACCCCCUGUGGGUCUUCCUCAGGUCUCUUGGCACACAACAAACAAAGAAAAGAAAAAAACUGUCUCUGAAUAAAGAAAACAAAGGAUGCUGGCUGGUAAGAGUGAAUGAUGUUCUCUCCUCAAGCUUCAAAAUGGAAAUGAUUAAGCCCAACCCACUUCUCCCUUUUAUAGUCUCUGGCGAGUAAAUACAAUGAAUUUUGUUAUUUUAUUAUCAUGUGCCCUUUUAAAUUCUAAAUUUUAAGCCCUUAACUAUGAAUUACUUUUAACCCUUUACUAUAUAAUAAUGAUCUAUAUCCCCUGUAUUUAUUAAAAUGUAUUUAUUUAUUUAUGUGUUAUUUAUUUAUUUAUGUGUUAUUUAUUUAAAAUUAAUAUAUUUAAUUUUUAACUGUCCUAGGGUUAGGGUUAGGGUUAGGGUUAGGGUUAGGGCUAGGGUUAGGGUUAGGGUUAGGGUUAGG